rnacentral:rRNA from 1 species
CAAUAGCGUAUAUUAAAGUUGUUGCAGUUAAAAAGCUCGUAGUUGGAUUUGUGGCUGUCACGGGCGGCCUAUCACUUAGUGUUAGUGCUUGCCUGUGUCGCCAUCCUUGGGUGGAGCCCGUGUGGCAUUAGGUUGUCGUGCGGGGGAUGCCCAUCGUUUACUGUGAGAAAAUUAGAGUGUUCAAAGCAGGCUUAUGCCAUUGAAUAUGUUAGCAUGGAAUAAUAAGAUAGGACCUCGGUACUAUUUUGUUGGUUUGCGCACCGAGGUAAUGAUUAAUAGGGACAGUUGGGGGUAUUCGUAUUUCAUUGUCAGAGGUGAAAUUCUUGGAUUCCUGAAAGACGAACUACUGCGAAAGCAUUUACCAAGGAUGUUUUCAUUAA